rnacentral:rRNA from 1 species
UACGAAGGGGGCUAGCGUUGCUCGGAAUUACUGGGCGUAAAGCGCACGUAGGCGGUCUUUUAAGUCGGGGGUGAAAUCCUGGAGCUCAACUCCAGAACUGCCUUCGAUACUGGAAGACUUGAGUCCGGAAGAGGUGAGUGGAACUCCUAGUGUAGAGGUGGAAUUCGUAGAUAUUAGGAAGAACACCAGUGGCGAAGGCGGCUCACUGGUCCGGAACUGACGCUGAGGUGCGAAAGCGUGGGGAGCAAACAGG